rnacentral:rRNA from 1 species
GAUGAACGCUGGCGGCGUGCUUAACACAUGCAAGUCGAACGGGAUCCAUCGGGCUUUGCUUGGUGGUGAGAGUGGCGAACGGGUGAGUAAUGCGUGACCGACCUGCCCCACACACCGGAAUAGCUCCUGGAAACGGGUGGUAAUGCCGGAUGCUCCAGUUGAUCGCAUGGUCUUCUGGGAAAGCUUUCGCGGUAUGGGAUGGGGUCGCGUCCUAUCAGCUUGACGGCGGGGUAACGGCCCACCGUGGCUUCGACGGGUAGCCGGCCUGAGAGGGCGACCGGCCACAUUGGGACUGAGAUACGGCCCAGACUCCUACGGGAGGCAGCAGUGGGGAAUAUUGCACAAUGGGCGCAAGCCUGAUGCAGCGACGCCGCGUGAGGGAUGGAGGCCUUCGGGUUGUAAACCUCUUUUAUCGGGGAGCAAGCGAGAGUGAGUU